UUUCUUUUUGCAUAAGUUUUAAGCCAGAGCAGAGAAAAAUGUGAAACCACUUGGCGUACCUUUCUUUUGAAGAGUAGUUUUUAGGAAAAAUAUGGAACACUAAAUAUAACUUGUUGAGACAUGCCUUUCUAUUUGAAGAAAGAUAAAUAGAAGAUAAAUGUGGGAAAUAGUUGUCCUUCACUAAAAAUCAUGAAAAAUUCACCAAAGUCUCUAUAAUACACCUUCAACCCACUCUUAAAGUUUCACGCUCAUAAUCACUAUAGAUUUUGAGAUAAAAAUGGUGAAGUACAUGCUACCUUGGGUUAAUAAAAUAAUUUUAAUUAUUUUUGUACUAAUCCAAUGGAUCUCAAAUUUUUACAGUAACUCAUUGAUGACAUGGGUGAGAUACUGCUAAAUGCUUAGUGUCAGAUGUUACUGUUUGAAUAUGGAAACAAAUUUUGAAAGAUGAACCAGUUUAAAUGAACAAAGAAAAUGUGAAGUCCUAGUAAGCUUAAAUGGUAAUUAUUGAAAGAGGUACAUAAAAACAUUCAGAAAUAAAUGACUUUCCAAAUAAACCUUGAACAAUCCUAAAAGUGACCCCCACCUUCCUUGUGAAGCUCUAAGUUGUAAGAACCUUAUAUAUGUACA
rnacentral:lncRNA from 1 species